rnacentral:rRNA from 1 species
GAUGAACGCUAGCUACAGGCUUAACACAUGCAAGUCGAGGGGCAGCAUGACGAUAGCUUGCUAUUGUUGAUGGCGACCGGCGCACGGGUGAGUAACGCGUAUCCAACCUGCCCUUGUCCAUCGGAUAACCCGUCGAAAGGCGGCCUAACACGAUAUGCAGUUCUCAGCAGGCAUCUAACGAGAACGAAAUGUGAAGGAGAAGGAUGGGGAUGCGUCUGAUUAGCUUGUUGGCGGGGUAACGGCCCACCAAGGCGACGAUCAGUAGGGGUUCUGAGAGGAAGGUCCCCCACAUUGGAACUGAGACACGGUCCAAACUCCUACGGGAGGCAGCAGUGAGGAAUAUUGGUCAAUGGGCGAGAGCCUGAACCAGCCAAGUAGCGUGCAGGAUGACGGCCCUAUGGGUUGUAAACUGCUUUUAUACGGGGAUAAAGUGGGUCUCGUGAGACUUUUUUGCAUGUACCUUAUGAAUAAGGACCGGCUAAUUCCGUGCCAG